GGGACCCACUACCAACAUUCCUAUCCUAUCAAUUCAAAACGGCACAAUUGUCUCUUCCUUUGACGCUCCGUCUCUCCUAAAACGCUCCAUUACUCCCCCCUCCUCAUGGCUCUCUCUAUAACCUCAAAACCUCGACAAUCAAACACCACCAGCAUUGGCGAGAUCCAAGAGAUCGAAGUUUUCCGCAGAUUCGACGUGCUAUCUGACUCCUCCGACCACCACUAUGUUAACGCCAACACCACCACCAAACACACAGGCGUUGAUUGUUUCACCAAUCUCUCUAGUGGUGUCCACAAGAAGAUCAUGCAAGAGUGGAAAAUCCUCGAGAAACACCUUCCCGAUUCCAUCUUCGUUCGGGUUUACGAGAAUCGGAUAGAUUUAUUACGAGCAGUGAUCGUGGGCGCCGCCGGUACACCAUACCACGAUGGACUAUACUUCUUCGACGUUGCUUUUCCGUCCGAUUAUCCGUCCCGGCCGCCUCACGUUUAUUAUAGAUCAUACGGGUUGCGUAUCAACCCGAACCUCUAUGCGAACGGGCGGGUUUGUUUAAGCCUUGUAAACACGUGGCCUGGUAGGAAGAGCGAGAAAUGGAACCCCAAUGAGUCUACGGUGCUCCAGGUUUUGGUUUCGAUCCAAGCUCUUGUGCUGAAUGAGAGACCGUACUUUAACGAACCUGGUCAUGGCAUGUGGCCGGGUCGGAUCAUCUGGGAGAAGAGAUCGAAUUCCUACAAUGAGGAUGUUUUUGUGUUGUCUUGCAAGUCAAUGCUGUUUCUACAGCGCAGACCACCAAAGAAUUUUGAGGGUUUUGUUGCUUGGCAUUUUAGAGAGCGAGCGAACGUGAUAUUAUCGGCUUGUAAUGCUUACACAAGUGGUCGAGCUAGAGUUGGAUACUGCCCAACUGAUGGGUCAUCGUCGAGCUCCCCGAUUGUUGAAGUAUCGGAUAAAUUCAAGGGAUUAAUAGCACAGUUGUAUCCUGAGCUGGUUGCAGCUUUUACCAGGAGUGGGGCUUCACGAGAGACUUUGAUCGAGCAGCUGAAGGUGGAGCGGAAAUCGGCGUCGUAUAAAGGCCAGGUGGUAGUUAAAAAGAAGGUCAAAUCCAAUAGUGGGGUUGCGAGAAGGGUUUUGGGGAAAUUAAAGAAGGUUUUGGGAUUGAAGAAGAAAAGUGGAAAAAGCAGCAGCGUCAAAAAGAAGACGAUGCCUUCUUGAAAGAGGCGGAAGAAUGGAAGCAACGCCUGGGAGGGAGAGGGACCCAUUGGGAAUUUUAUUUGCUUAGUUAGGGCACUUUAUACAAGGAAUUCAACUGCACCUCCACUGUUGAACAUGUUCUCAAGGCCAACGGGUGCAAAUUUAGCUCGCUUAUUGUGCUUGAGCACUGGUGAAAUGGUGAAUAUUUCAAAGGAAGAAGGUUGGAGUGUGAUCUUAGUCUGAUCUUUGGCCUUGACCAUGUGAAGAUUAUCAGACCUGUGAAGGUAGACAGUGAAUUGUUCCGUGUUUCGGUACACAGCUGUGAAGUCUUUUUGCUCCCAUUCGAUAUCAUGUGGGGAUACCACACCAGACAUUGAUUUGUAGCUUUGUGGGUAGGCCUUGUAUUUGUGCUCUUCAGGAUACCAUCCAGCUCCUUGGCAGUUGAAUACACCCACCACCCCAGCAUACUGCAUUUAGCAGAUUGGGCUUCAAGUAAUACGAAAUAUAGAAAACAAGUAAGUUAUAUACGUUCACUAGGCGUAUAAAUGUUGCAAAUUACCUUGUUUAGGUUCCAAAUUUUGAGCAGGGUCUUGCCAUCAAAAAGUGGGCUCUCAAAGAGGCAAUCUCUAGUUGGAAGGGCAUAAUGUUGGCAUCUGAGUAUAGUUCCAUCAGGAAGUACCAGCUUCCUCAGGAGAUUAAAAUAAUGGUGACCAACUUUGUCACUGACAUAAACAGGUCCACCAAAUAUGGCUCUUGAUACAGCAUGAAACUCUGCACAGAGAUGAUCUGACUGGAACAUGUCCCAAUCAGGUUGAACAAAUUGCCCCUGCUACAAGCUGUUGUAGCUGCAGUGGAUCAUGUGGACUCCUUGCAACCAGUAAACUCCCAUGGGAUAUCCAUUUGGGACUUCAAACCUGAAGUCAUUACCUACAUGACAGAAAUAAGCCAAUCAAGAUAAGCCAGGAAAGAAACCUCAAGGGACUAUUUUUCACAUUGUCAAAUUACAAAAACCAUUAUCUUAGUACUAGCAAUUUGCCAACUCUGCCCAUGGAAAUCUGUUUUGUCGCCAGGAAAAAGAAAUCAUUGCAUUGCUCCAUACUUGAAAUGAGUCCAGUUCCUCCAAAAUUCUUCUUCAGAGAUUUGGUCAGGCCAUCGUAGUAUGCCUUGGCAAGCUGAACUCUGCCACCGUAAUCCUCACAUACAUACUCCAGAGACUGUAGAAAUUGAGAACAAUGAUCAAAGGAGAAGAGAUGGGUUAUUUCUAAAACAUAAAGCUGCUAAAGAGAUUAUUAAUUCAGAAGGGGCUAAGGCCUGUGGGCGAAGAUGGUGGAGAUAAGUUUGCCGUUGAUAUUUAUUGCAACCAGUUAAUUAUGUACCAAAUGCUAGAUAAUCGAU